rnacentral:rRNA from 1 species
GACGAACGCUGGCGGCGUGCUUAACACAUGCAAGUCGAACGGAAAGGCCCUGCUUUUGUGGGGUGCUCGAGUGGCGAACGGGUGAGUAACACGUGAGUAACCUGCUCUUGACUUUGGGAUAACUUCAGGAAACUGGGGCUAAUACCGGAUAGGAGCUCCUGCUGCAUGGUGGGGGUUGGAAAGUUUCGGCGGUUGGGGAUUGACUCGCGGCUUAUCAGCUUGUUGGUGGGGUAGUGGCUUACCAAGGCUUUGACGGGUAGCCGGCCUGGGGGGGUGACCGGCCACAUUGGGACUGAGAUCCGGCCCAGCCUCCUACGGGAGGCAGCAGUGGGGAUUAUUGCACAAUGGGCGGAAGCCUGAUGCAGCACCGCCGCGUGCGGGUUGACGGCCUUCGGUUUGUAAACCGCUUUCGCCUGUGACGAAGCGUGAGUGACGGUAAUGGGUAAAGAAGCACCGGCUAACUACGUG